GAUGAUAUUGCGGAGGCUCAUGCUUUGGGAUUGGGCUUGGAUGUUGAUGUGACAGCGGUUACUCCGUCUGACCCCCCCUCGGACGUGGAAGGCGCUGCUGAUACUCCGUCUGAGACCAUCUCAAGAUUUCAGGGGCCAUUAUUAUUAGAGUACAAUGGAACAGUGAGGAGGGCUGACGCAGACUCAACUGUUCCACUCAGGCAUGAGGUGGUAGCCUCUGAUGACAGUUCCAGGCAGAAUUUUGGGGAUUCAUGUGACUCCUCAUUGGAUCCAUUAUCUUCUAUGGAAUCUAGAAGAAGAUCAUUCAUGGCUAAGAUAACAAUGGCACCUUCACAGCUCCUUGCUGCUCCUGUCCUCCCCAAGCGGUCAAGGGGUGCCACAAAACAUG
rnacentral:misc_RNA from 1 species